ACGGAGGGUGCAAGCGUUAUUCGGAAUAACUGGGCGUAAAGCGCACGCAGACGGUUAGGUAAGUCAGAUUAGAAAUCCCCGGGAUAAACCUGGGGACUGCAAUUGAAACUGUCUGACUAGAGUAUUGUAGAGGGGGGUAGAAUUCCAGGUGUAGCGGUGAAAUGCGUAGAGAUCUGGAGGAAUACCGUUGGCGAAGGCGGCCCCCUGGACAAAGACUGACGCUCAGGUGCGAAAGCGUGGGGAGCAAACAG
rnacentral:rRNA from 1 species